GACUCAGACGCUAGGCGGCGCACAGGAAGAACGUCACGCGCUUUGGCGCUGGCGGCGCGCCCAAGCUUCCCUGCGCCUCUCUCGCCCCGCCCUCGGCCCCGCCUCCUCCCAGGAGGGCGGAGAGGCCGGAAGUGGACUCUCUGGCGCUGAGGCUGCUGGGAGAUGUAGUCUCGCCGACCUUCGGUUUGCCUCCCUCCCUCCGCGGGGCUAGCGCUUACUCCUUUGCUUGCUGGCUCGGCUUCUUUCUGUUCGCCUGCGGAGCCCCCGCCUUUCAAACCCCAAUCCUCUGGAACUCCUUGGCCCUGAGACCUUGCGCCGGUCCCAUGAUAAGCAGCAGUCCUGGAUAGUGUUAACUCCGUUAUAUACAUGAAAAAAAUGGAGACCCAUGGCGUUUCAUCUCUUGUCAGUGGGCAUGAAGCUGCUGAGUGGUGGAACUGGAAUCAGACCCAGGCCUUUCUUCCUUCCCAAAGUGCCCCGCACACAGCAGACCCACAGAACGACUGACAUACAUGUGACAGUCAUUGCGGGAUGUCAGUGGUGUUCCCAAAAGAGGUGCCAAGAGCAUUGGCACCUUGUCUGAGGUCUCACAGAUGGGUAGGGCAGUACCAGGCCCAGGGCCUAGCAGUCCUGGCUCCCAGCCUCAGGCCCCUCUCCUGGGCAGGGAAAGAGAUUGCCCAGGCAGAGCUGGAGAUUACACAGCUAAUCCGGGGCUCAGACCUGAGUCCACGGAUCUCUCCUUCUGGGGCAGGAGAAGUGGGGCAGGAUGGAGCCAGAGGGUAGAUUCCUAACUCUUCCCUCCCUAACUAGGUCAAGGGAACAGCAGGCUGUGGGGAGCAGGCAGCCUGGGGAUGCUGCGGAUGGGGGAAGGCUGGGCGUGGGGUGAUGGGAAAUGGAGAGUGAGGAGCAGGACCUCCUGUUCAUCCAGCCCAGGCUCUGUGCCAGGCACUUGCCAUGUGUUAUCCCCUUAAUCUUCCCACAACCCAGGGCGUGGGAGUGAUGAGCCCCUGUUUUCAGAAGAGGACAGAGUGUAUGAGCAACACUGAGUGGCCUGCCCAGGAUGGCACAGCUGCCAGAACUCGGCCUGACGUCUUCUGCAUCCCCCACUCAGUCCCCACCCCUCUGGAGCACCUACUUGCCAGGCUCCUCAGUGUCACCUCCCAGGAAGCGCUCCUCCAAGGUGUCACAGGCCCUGGCUCUCACCUCUCCCUCCGCACCUGUCCCAUUCUGCGCCACCGUCUGCACCUGCCUCCCCCAACAGCCUCCAGGCCAGAAGCCUCGCUGUCCCCACAUCCAUUGAGUCCUGCCAACCCGAGCUUUUUUGAACAGUUCCUGUUCCUGUGCCCUCAGGCCCCGCCCCAUACCCACGAUCUGUCAGCUUUCACCUGGAAGUUUGCAAAGCCUCCUUGAGGUCUCCCAGCCUGAUUCUUGGCCCCUCCAGUCCUUUCUUUGCACGUGGAACAAGUGGGAUUGUUGUAAAGCUCAGAUCUAUUUUACCCCCUCCCCUGCAUAAGACCCUUUGUGGUUCCCUAGAGUCCUCAGGACAAAGCCGGAGCCCCCUGACCUGGCACUCAAGGUCCUGCACAGACGGCUCUGCCCCCUGAAGUGGAGGGAGAACCAUUCCUCUACCCUCUAGGUCCUUCUGGCUUGUCUAAGAAUUAAAUUGACAUGAAACAGAAUAACAGGAGAAAAUCAAACCAGUUUAAUAACAUGUAUACACGGGAGAAACCCAGGAAUACUGAGUAACUCGUCCAAACGGCUGAAGCCACUGCCUUAAAUACCAUCUUCAGCUAAAGACAAAGGAGGAUGUUGGGGGCAGUGGUUUAAGGCUUCGAAGGGGAGGAAGGCAAUUUCCAUGGAGAUGGAAAAGCAAAUGUUUGCUAAACCAAUGUUUGCUGGGCCAUCUAUAGACCAUGUGAGGAGAGACAGAAAGAAAGGGAGAGAGAGACUGAGAACUUUGAUAAAAAUGGGCUUAGCAAGGAUCCUCCUGUCUACCAGACCCAGUUUGUAUUAUGCUAUAGUGAGCUCAUGGUAUCAGCUCCUUCCUGGAACAGGCCUUCUGUCUUAAAUUCUUUUAGGUGGUUAGGG
ensembl:lncRNA